rnacentral:RNase_P_RNA from 1 species
GGAGUUGGCCAGGCAGCCGCUGCGCGGUUCGCCGCGUGGAGGAAAGUCCGGGCUCCACAGGGCAGAGUGCCAGGUAACGCCUGGGCGCUAUAAGUCGAAAGACCCAAGGCGACGGAAAGUGCAACAGAAAAGAUACCGCCGAUGGCCCGGACUUUGACGCUGCAAAGCGGCAAAGUCCCCUUGUAGGGGGAGACCCCCGCCAGGAGACGGAUCAGGCAAGGUUGAAAUGGCGCGAAGACUCGCAAGAGGAUUCGGGCCUGCCGGUAAGUGGGCCCGAACAUCCGCGAGGGUGUUCGGGCUUGCCGCAAGGCAGGUCAGGUAAGAGCUCACCGCGGACGUGGCAACACGGACGGCAAGGUAAACCCCACUCGGAGCAAGGCCAAAUAGGCAGGCACGUCUUCGGACAUCGGCGGCCCGCCGAAGCCUGCGGGUAGGCUGCUUGAGGCGAUGGGCGACCAUCGUCCCAGAUGAAUGGCUGCCCACGACAGAACCCGGCUUAUCGGCCAACUCCACCU